GUGGCGAAAUUGGUAGACGCACGGGACUUAAAAUCCCGCGGAGUUAAAUCCGUGCCGGUUCGAUUCCGGCCCGAGGCACCA
rnacentral:tRNA from 1 species